rnacentral:rRNA from 1 species
CAAAGGAAUUGACGGGGCCCGCACAAGCGGUGGAGCAUGUGGUUAAUUCGAAGCAACGCGAAGAACCUUACCAGGUCUCGACAUCCCGAUGCUAUUUCUAGAGAUAGAAAGUUACUUCGGUACAUCGGUGACAGGUGGUGCAUGGUUGUCGUCAGCUCGUGUCGUGAGAUGUUGGGUUAAGUCCCGCAACGAGCGCAACCCCUAUUGUUAGUUGCCAUCAUUCAGUUGGGCACUCUAGCGAGACUGCCGGUAAUAAACCGGAGGAAGGUGGGGAUGACGUCAAAUCAUCAUGCCCCUUAUGACCUGGGCUACACACGUGCUACAAUGGUUGGUACAACGAGUUGCGAGUCGGUGACGGCGAGCUAAUCUCUUAAAGCCAAUCUCAGUUCGGAUUGUAGGCUGCAACUCGCCUACAUGAAGUCGGAAUCGCUAGUAAUCGCGGAUCAGCACGCCGCGGUGAAUACGUUCCCGGGCCUU